rnacentral:rRNA from 1 species
AACCUGCCUUUGAGAAGGGGAUAACUGUCCGAAAGGAUAGCUAAUACCCUAUAUUGCCUUUUGUCACUAAGACAAAAGGUGAAAGCGAGGCUGUCAAAGGCUUCGGCUCAAAGAGGGGUUCGCGUCCUAUCAGGUAGUUGGUGGGGUAAUGGCCUACCAAGCCAAUGACGGGUAGCUGGUCUUAGAGGAUGAUCAGCCACAGUGGGACUGAGACACGGCCCGCACCCCUACGGGGGGCAGCAGUGGGGAAUCGUGGGCAAUGGGCGCAAGCCUGACCCCGCAAUGCCGCGUGAGGGAAGAAGCCCUUCGGGGUGUAAACCUCUGUCAGAUGGGAAGAUGGGACUAGGGGCUAAUACCUCCUAGUCUUGACGGUACCAUCAGAGGAAGGGACGGCUA